rnacentral:rRNA from 1 species
UACAGAGGGUGCGAGCGUUAAUCGGAAUUACUGGGCGUAAAGCGUGCGUAGACGGUUAUUUAAGUCGGGUGUGAAAGCCCCGGGCUCAACCUGGGAAUUGCAUUCGAGACUGAAUAGCUAGGGUACGGUAGAGGGAAGCGGAAUUUCCGGUGUAGCGGUGAAAUGCGUAGAUACCGGAAGGAACAUCAGUGGCGAAAGCGGCUUCCUGGACCAGUACCGACGUUCAGGCACGAAAGCGUGGGGAGCAAACAGG